rnacentral:rRNA from 1 species
AGAGUUUGAUUAUGGCUCAGGAUGAACGCUAGCUACAGGCUUAACACAUGCAAGUCGGAGGGGUAGCAGGGUAGCAAUACCGCUGACGACCGGCGCGACGGGUGAGUAACACGUAUCCCAACCUUCCCAUAACUCAGGGAUAGCCUUUCGAAAAGAAAGAUUAAUACCUGAUAGUACUUUUUUCAAGGCAUCGUUGGGAAAGUUAAAGAUUUUAUUGGUUAUGGAUGGGGAUGCGUUCCAUUAGAUAGUUGGUGAGGUAACGGCUCACCAAGUCUUCGAUGGAUAGGGGUUCUGAGAGGAAGGUCCCCCACAUUGGUACUGAGACACGGACCAAACUCCGUACGGGAGGCAGCAGUGAGGAAUAUUGGUCAAUGGGCGAGAGCCUGAACCAGCCAAGUAGCGUGAAGGAAUGAAGGUCCUAUGGAUUGUAAACUUUCUUUUAUAGUAGAAUAAAGUGAUCCACGUGUGGAUUUUUUGUAUGUAUACUAUGAAUAAGGAUCGGCUAACUCCGUGCCAGCCGCCGC